rnacentral:rRNA from 1 species
GACGAACGCUGGCGGCGUGCCUAAUACAUGCAAGUUGAGCGCUGAAGGUUGGUACUUGUACCAACUGGAUGAGCAGCGAACGGGUGAGUAACGCGUGGGGAAUCUGCCUUUGAGCGGGGGACAACAUUUGGAAACGAAUGCUAAUACCGCAUAAAAACUUUAAACACAAGUUUUAAGUUUGAAAGAUGCAAUUGCAUCACUCAAAGAUGAUCCCGCGUUGUAUUAGCUAGUUGGUGAGGUAAAGGCUCACCAAGGCGAUGAUACAUAGCCGACCUGAGAGGGUGAUCGGCCACAUUGGGACUGAGACACGGCCCAAACUCCUACGGGAGGCAGCAGUAGGGAAUCUUCGGCAAUGGACGAAAGUCUGACCGAGCAACGCCGCGGGAGUGAAGAAGGGUUUCGGAUCGGAAAACUCGGUUGGUAGAGAAGAACGUUGGUGAGAGUGGAAAGCUCAUCAAGUGACGGUAACUACCCAGAAAGGGACGGCUAACUACGUG